GGAUUCUCUGUAGCUCAGCGGUAGAGAGUCUGCCUUACAAGCUGAAGGCCUCAGGUUCAAUCCCCGGCGUCUCCA